UCCCCUCUCCUAAACUCCAUUAUUGGUUUUGUCUCUCUAGAGGACCCUAAUACACUGCUCAGCAGAAGCCAGGAAGGAAGCCCUGCCAGCUCAGAAGGUGUGCCAGGAGAGAAGGGUGUGGCCGGAAGGGUAGCCGGUGGGGGUGCUGCAUCCUCUUGGCCCCACUGGGAGCACCUUGUCACCCCUAACAGAUGAAGAGAAGGGUUUCUGGUGUCUCCAGAUUUUUCAGGCGCCACCAUGUUCCUCUCAUCCAGACGUCGGCACCCAAGGUGGAAGCAGGUCAUGGCAUGCCCGGCCCAGCUGCAGUCCGAGUGCAGAUCCCAUGGCGAGCGUGGGAUCCAGCCCAAAGCACAAGCCACGCACAGCCCGCUAGGUUGAGUGGGUAGGUACCUCCAACAGCCUGGAGCCGUGAGGCCUUGGGCAGGGGCGUUGCCGGCCGUGGAGGUCUCUGGCUGGCAAAGCGGCACCGAAAGAGUCCUGUGUCAUAACCAGACUCACUUGUAGCUUCUGUUGCUCUCCCUAGCUAUUUCCAAAGCAUCCAGGAUAGGUUCAUCUAAAGACAUUCUGACUCAUCUUGGACACGAUCCACUUACUCUGUGGACCCUGUUCACAGAACCUGGAGUCCCUGCUCACCUUCCCCGACCCCUUAUUGCUGGGUCAUGUUCACAAGUUUCUGUCUCUUUUUGUUCCCAGUCCCGGUACCAGCUCAGGUCCAGUCAGCUUCUGAACCUCUACUGUGCAGUGCCUGAGACAAGGUGGAGGAGACACGGACAGUAAAGCUCAGCCAGGUGCAGACUGCAGCCUGGAAGCAAAGGCUGAGACAGGGUGGGAGAGACACCGACAGUAAAGCUCAGCCAGGUGCAGACUGCAGCCUGGAAGCAAAGGCUGAGACAGGGUGGGAGAGACACGGACAGUAAAGCUUAGCCAGGUGCAGACUGCAGCCUGGAAGCAAAGGCUGAGACAGGGUGGGAGAGACACGGACAGUAAAGCUCAGCCAGGUGCAGACUGCAGCCUGGAAGCAAAGGCUGAGACAGGGUGGGAGAGACACGGACAGUAAGCUCAGCCAGGUGCAGACUGCAGCCUGGAAGCAAAGGCUGAGACAGGGUGGGAGAGACACGGACAGUAAAGCUCAGCCAGGUGCAGACUGCAGCCUGGAAGCAAAGGCUGAGACAGGGUGGGAGAGACACGGACAGUAAAGCUCAGCCAGGUGCAGACUGCAGCCUGGAAGCAAAGGCUGAGACAGGGUGGGAGAGACACGGACAGUAAAGCUCAGCCAGGUGCAGACUGCAGCCUGGAAGCAAAGGCUGAGACAGGGUGGGAGAGACACGGACAGUAAAGCUCAGCCAGGUGCAGACUGCAGAAUGGAAGCAAAGGCUGAGACAGGGUGGGAGAGACACGGACAGUACGCUCAGCCAGAUGCAGACUGCAGAAUGGAAGCAAAGGCUGAGACAGGGUGGGAGAGACACCGACAGUAAGCUCAGCCAGGUGCAGACUGCAGCCUGGAAGCAAAGGCAGUGCCACCCUCUUUCGGGGCAUUUCUGGUCACUUCAGUCUGCUGGGGGGAUUCGGUGUCUCACCAGGAGACUCAGGCAUGGACCUGGGUUGCCACUUUCUUCCUGUUACAUGGAUCUCUCUACCAUGCCCCAGACCCAACACCUCCGCCUUCUCAAAGCUGCACUGCACAAGUUCUAGCCAGAGCAGCCUGGUAAGAGAAAGACGUCAAGAGCAUCCAAAUACUUCCUUCCAAAUGAGGAAGCCAAAUGGUCCUUGUUUGCAUUCAAUGUGAUCUUAUAUAUAGAAAACCCUAAAAGCUUUAUCAAAACAUUCUUAGAAUAAACAAAUUCA
rnacentral:lncRNA from 1 species